rnacentral:RNase_P_RNA from 1 species
UAAGUAGAACAGAUAAUCGCCUGUUUUGCAAUGAAGGCAGGAGGAAAGUCCGGACUCCUUGGAGAAAUAGUAAUGGCUAACGGCCAUGGGGAGUGAUCCCACGGAAAGUGCAACAGAAAAUGAACCGCCCAGGGGCCUAUGGCCCGUGGGUAAGGGUGAAAAAGUGAGGUAAGAGCUCACUAUGGCUGCAGCGAUGUAGUCCAUUGGCAAACCCUACUAGGAGCAAUAUCAAGUAGACGGCUCGCCUAGGCGGGGGCGUUCUCCACGCUGGACGUCGUGGUAGAUAGCUCGAGGCUAGAAGUAAUUCUAGUCCUAGAUUGAUGAUUAUCAAAUACAGAAUCCGGCUUAGGUUCUACUUACGAU